rnacentral:tRNA from 3 species
GCCGGGAUGGCGGAAUGGUAGACGCAUCCGACUUAAAAUCGGCCGCCGCGAGGCGUGAGGGUUCAAGUCCCUUUCCCGGCACCA